rnacentral:rRNA from 1 species
GUCUACAGCCAUACCACCCUGAACAUGCCAAUCUCAUCUGACCUUGGAAGCUAAGCAGGGUUGAACUUGAUUAGUAUUUGGAUGGAAGAACACAAACGUAUGGUAACAGGUAUUCAUUGCAGCAU